GACGAACGCUGGCGGCGUGCUUAACACAUGCAAGUCGAACGGAAAGGCCCUGCUUUUGUGGGGUGCUCGAGUGGCGAACGGGUGAGUAACACGUGAGUAACCUGCCCUUGACUUUGGGAUAACUUCAGGAAACUGGGGCUAAUACCGGAUAGGAGCUCCUGCUGCAUGGUGGGGGUUGGAAAGUUUCGGCGGUUGGGGAUGGACUCGCGGCUGAUCAGCUUGUUGGUGGGGUAGUGCCUUACCAAGACUUUGACGGGUAGCGGGCCUUAGCGGGUGACCAGGAAGAUUAGCACUGAGAUAAGGCCCAGACGCCUAAGGGAGGCAACAGUGCGGAAUAUUGCUAGAUGGGCGGAAGCGUGAUGCAGCAACGCCACGUGCGGGAUGACGGCAUUCGGGUUGUAAACCGCUUUCGCCUGUGACGAAGCGUGAGUGACGGUAAUGGGUAAAGAAGCACCGGCUAACUACGUG
rnacentral:rRNA from 1 species